rnacentral:rRNA from 1 species
UUCCGGUUGAUCCUGCCGGACGCAUUGCUAUCGGAGUCCGAUUUAGCCAUGCUAGUUGUGCGGGUUUAGACCCGCAGCGGAAAGCUCAGUAACACGUGGCCAAGCUACCCUGUGGACGGGAAUACUCUCGGGAAACUGAGGCUAAUCCCCGAUAACGCUUUGCUCCUGGAAGGGCAAAGCCGGAAACGCUCCGGCGCCACAGGAUGCGGCUGCGGUCGAUUAGGUAGACGGUGGGGUAACGGCCCACCGUGCCCAUUAAUCGGWWCGGGUUGUGAGAGCAAGAGCCCGGAGACGGAAUCUGAGACAAGAUUCCGGGCCCUACGGGGCGCAGCAGGCGCGAAAACCUUUACACUGUACGAAAGUGCGAUAAGGGGACUCCGAGUGUGAAGGCAUAGAGCCUUCACUUUUGUACACCGUAAGGKKGUGCACGAAUAAGGACUGGGCAAGACCGGUGYCAUUGCCGCCGCGGUAAUACCGGCAGUCCGAGUGAUGGCCGAUCUUAUUGGGCCUAAAGCGUCCGUAGCUGGCUGAACAAGUCCGUUGGGAAAUCUGUCCGCUUAACGGGCAGGCGUCCAGCGGAAACUGUUCAGCUUGGGACCGGAAGACCUGAGGGGUACGUCUGGGGUAGGAGUGAAAUCCUGUAAUCCUGGACGGACSCCGGUGCGAAGCGCCUCAGGAGAACGGAUCCGACAGUGAGGGACGAAAGCUAGGGUCUCGAACCGGAUUAGAUACCCGGGUAGUCCUAGCUGUAAACGAUGUCCGCUAGGUUGUUNGCAGGCUACGAGCCUGCGCUGUGCCGUAGGGAAGCCGAGAAGCGGACCGCCUGGGAAGUACGUCUGCAAGGAUGAAACUUAAAGGAAUUGGCGGG